rnacentral:rRNA from 1 species
GACGAACGCUGGCGGCGUGCCUAAUACAUGCAAGUCGAACGAACCGCGACUAAGUGCUUGCACUAAGUCAAGGUGAGUGGCGAACGGGUGAGUAACACGUGGGUAACCUACCUCAUAGUGGGGGAUAACAGUCGGAAACGACUGCUAAUACCGCAUAGGACAUAGGAUCACAUGAUCCAGUGAGGAAAGGUGGCGCAAGCUAUCGCUAAGAGAUGGACCCGCGGUGCAUUAGCUAGUUGGUAGGGUAAAGGCCUACCAAGGCGAUGAUGCAUAGCCGACCUGAGAGGGUGAUCGGCCACAUUGGGACUGAGACACGGCCCAAACUCCUACGGGAGGCAGCAGUAGGGAAUCUUCCGCAAUGGACGCAAGUCUGACGGAGCAACGCCGCGUGAGUGUAGAAGGUCUUCGGAUCGUAAAGCUCUGUUGUUAGAGAAGAACAGCGCAUAGAGUAACUGCUAUGCGUGUGACGGUAUCUAACCAGAAAGCCACGGCUAACUACGUG